AAGUGGAGGAAGGGUUGCGGUUUUAAUAAUCUUCCAGACAAUCCACGUCCGAUAAUUUCGGCGGCAAGUGCACUAUGUAAUCGAACACGUUGGUGUUGUGGGUGUUAUUACAGAAUAACUUCGCCUACACUUCGUCUGAUUAGAUAUCCGUAAAUUAAUUAUACGGAGUCCGGGUACCGACUAGAUGAUAAGGAUUUGUGAUGUAUUGCUCGAGUUUCCCCUCGUUAUAUAUUAUUGCAAUUACGCUCAUAGCACAUCUAAUUUCGCUCCGUGUUUGCUACGGGUUAAAGGUAUCCACAUUUUGUGCCUUUGGCUCGCUUCUGUAAAACUACCCACACUUGUAAAAACCCGAACCGAUAAAACAACCCUAGUUUUAGCAUAGUGAGCGCCAGUUGGUUGGGUCGAAGAACCAUGUGCUUAGGGGCAGCUGUCAUCGGCCAGAUAAAGUCCACGAGACGCCACUGCCAUCCCCCAAUAACGGUUAAUUCACCAGAUUUUAGUGAAAAACUGUAUUAAAGGCGAAUAAUAAAAUUUCUUUCUUUGCUUCAAGUUGAUAGAAAGUUUUUCACGCUUGAGAUGCUGAAAUUGAAUUUUUCAACUCGAAAAUAACGGUGAAAUAGCAUCGGUGUUAUUAUUUUCUUACAAGCGGACGCAAACAUGUUUACUCAUCUCCGACGCUAAUUAUAUUGUGUGUAAAAUUGCGAGAAACUAAUUCAGUUCCAUGUCUCAACAACCGCUAAAUCUAUCCUUCAGCAGUGAAUAGACGUCAACUAACACACUCGCUUUCGUUGCUUCAGGAGAUACCAAUGAGAAUAUUACGCGUAAAACUGUUAAAUGCAGCAACGUAACCGACUUUCCAAAUAGAGCAUCUCGAAAUUUAGUUUUCCGAAAAAACUAUUUAGGUCACUUUUUGACGACCCGAUAAAUUACAAACAUCAAGAUUACAUGGCCUUGACAUUUACAUGGAAUAGAGCAAAACCGAAACGCAGUAGAGAAAUUGGCUAAUUAUUUUUUCAAAUGCAUUUAUUUCAAAUGUAGUUUUUUAUUAAUUUGAAAAAGAUAUCGUUCCAGUUAAACCAGCAUUAUUUUUGAUUGUAUAUGACACGCAAACUUACUUUAAUAAUAGAAAAUGAAAUGUAAUAGUAACACUUGCUGUGUUUGAGUAAGCAGCAGUUUGUGGGCUCAAAACUAGGUAAAGCCUUAAUACAAUGUGUUCAAAAAUGGUUGUUCAUC